UACAGAGACCUCAAGCGUUAUCCGGAUUUACUGGGCGUAAAGGGUCCGCAGGUGGCUAUGUGCGUCGAUGGUUAAAUGUUCGGGCUCAACCCGGACACCGCCGUCGAUACGGCAUAGCUAGAGCAUGGAAGAGGUACGCGGAAUUACCGGUGUAGUAGUAAUAUGCGUUAAUAUCGGUAAGAACACCAAAUGCGAAGGCAGCGUACUGGGACAUUGCUGACACUCAGGGACGAAAGCGUGGGGAGCGAAAGGG
rnacentral:rRNA from 1 species